rnacentral:rRNA from 1 species
AGUGAACGCUGGCGGUAGGCCUAACACAUGCAAGUCGAACGGCAGCACAGUAAGAGCUUGCUCUUACGGGUGGCGAGUGGCGGACGGGUGAGGAAUACAUCGGAAUCUACUUUUUCGUGGGGGAUAACGUAGGGAAACUUACGCUAAUACUGCAUACGACCUACGGGUGAAAGCAGGGGAUCUUCGGACCUUGCGCGAUUGAAUGAGCCGAUGUCGGAUUAGCUAGUUGGCGGGGUAAAGGCCCACCAAGGCGACGAUCCGUAGCUGGCCUGAGAGGAUGAUCAGCCACACUGGAACUGAGACACGGUCCAGACUCCUACGGGAGGCAGCAGUGGGGAAUAUUGGACAAUGGGCGCAAGCCUGAUCCAGCCAUACCGCGUGGGUGAAGAAGGCCUUCGGGUUGUAAAGCCCUUUUGUUGGGAAAGAAAAGCAGCAGGUUAAUACCCCGCUGUUCUGACGGUACCCAAAGAAUAAGCACCGGCUAACUUCGUG